rnacentral:rRNA from 1 species
UACGGGAGGCAGCAGUGGGGAAUAUUGGGCAAUGGACGAAAGUCUGACCCAGCGACGCCGCGUGAAGGAAGAAGGUCUUCGGAUUGUAAACUUUAGUCAACAGGGAAGAAGAAAGUGACGGUACCUGUAGAGGAAGCCACGGCUAACUACGUGCCAGCAGCCGCGGUAAU